rnacentral:lncRNA from 1 species
UGGAGCUGGCGGCCGUGGGACACCCAGGACCUCCACCGCGACCCCAGGCCCACCCGGCGCCGCCGGCCGGGGCCUCGGGCCGUACCUGCUCCUGCAGCUCGGCCAAGCGCUGCGCCCGCUCCUCCUCGGAGUCGUCGGAGGAGCUGUCGCUGUCCGAGGAGCUGUCGCUGCUGCUGUCGCUGGACGAGGGCGACGAGGCGGGCACGGCCGGCUCCUCCGGCUCGUCCGGCAUCUUGGCAAAGCGCAUCUCGAACACGUCCUGCAAGCACAGCGGGGGGCCGGGGGUGACGCCGGGCUCGGCGCCGCCGCGGCUCCCGAACGGGGGGACCCCACGGACCGGGAGGUUCCGCGCCGAAAAUCAACUCCUGGACGUGGGGUGGGGCAGGGGCCAUGGAAUUUUGGGAGUUUCUUGGAGUUCUGAUUCUGUCCGAGGUGGAUUUAAGGGAAAAGUGAUGGGAUUUGCUCGUUUAUUUUCUCGUUUAAAAGGUGCCGUUUUCAGGUUCUUGAGAUCUUGGGUCACCUUCAGUAGAGGUUCCACCGUGGGUUCCCACUGGAGAUCUCAACCAUCUCCAAGGUGGUUUUGGGAUGAAAAAUUGGUGGUUUUGGGGGGAAAAUUCAGAGGAUUUCCUCAAUUUCUUAUUCAAAAGCUGCUUCUGGAGUUCUCCUCCAUCUUCUUGGACCAUCUCUGGUCGACUCCGUGAUUUUCGAGGUCUUUUCCAACCUCAAGCCCACCACGGAUUCCCACUGGAGACUUCAACCAUCUCCAAGGUGGUUUUGGGGGAAAAACUCAGAGGAUUUCCUCCAUUUCCCGUUUCAAACCUGACUUUUCCAAGUUCUUGAGAUCUUCCUGGACCAUCUUUGGUUGACUCCACGAUUUUUGAGGUCUUCUCCAGCCUCAAUCCCACCAGGAAUUCCCACCCCACUCCCCUCUUCAUCCAUCCCAGGGGUUCUCACUCACUUUGAAGGAAUUCCCUUCCAUUUGCCAGGAUUUUUCCUCAUUUUGGAAGGAAUUUUCCAUAAUUUUGAAGGAUUUUCCCUCCAUUUUAAAGCACAUUUUGAAGGAUUUUAUUCCAUUUUUCCUCCUUUUUGAAGGAUUUUUAAAAAUUUUCCUCCUUUUUGAAGGAUUUUAUUCC